ensembl:lncRNA
GGGGAGGGGAGCGGAGCGGAGGGGGUUCUGAUAACUGUGAGUGGCCUAACCCACAUAGAUGGAAAUCAGCCUUGGGGCAAUUCUUUCCUUUAGCUGAUGGAACAUGAUAUAUACAGCUUGGAGCUAGGUUCCUCCACAGCACAGCUAUUUGUAUGCAUUCACUUUAUCACAUUUUUAGGAAUUUUGAUAGCAUCUGAUAGGUUUAGAUUCUGAGAGGCAUUUCCUUUGAGCCACCAGCAUCUUCAUGGCAGCUGGAGCACUGGCUAUAAUGAUCUGUUCCAGCCUCCUUAUCUUCAGUAGCCUUCCAUAUCUCCAAUCUGCUUGUGUCUCUGCAUACUGAGAAAUGAUUGUGGUUGUCAAUCAUAUGUGCCUUACUCUCAUCCUCCCCAGCUGUGGGUUCCGUCACUGAGAUCAGACUUGGUAGACCAUAUCCAGGGAUUUGAUUGUAUUGACUUGAAGUGAAUAUUGCGUUUGCCUUCAGAAAUCUCUUUCUUUCCCUCCAUCUUCCUUUGUGCAGGUCCUUUAUCUCUCAGAGCCUGUUUUCUGGCCAGCUGCAGCCUGAUGUUUACUCAGCUGGGGUGAAUAACUUUCCUUUCUGUGUGUCUGAUGUGCUGCGUGUUGUCAAUACAUGGGCCAAUGGAGAUGUCCUCCCUGCUCCAUCCAUAUCAGCUUCUGACCUGACUUAUCUGUUGGCAGACCAGCAGCACUGAAGUCAGUGUGAAUGCAGGCAUCCAUAGAAACGUGUUCUCAUACAGCAGAGGGACUGAGCUGUCAUUGCCUUGAGAGCACCUGGUGAGGUUUGGUCAGCUUUCCAAGAUGAUAACAUGGAGCCUGAAGACCAAGUGCUGAAGACAGAAGGAACUGCAUCCUUGCUUUGUGAGGCAUAGGGAUUCCAAAGGCCAUGAUUAGAUAGCCUUAAUUUUACCUAAGCUUACUGCUUCUUGUCUUUUUAUUUAUUUGCCAGAAGUAAAAGACAGUGGACUUUUCUGUAUCAUGAAGCUGAAGACUGAACGCAGUUGAACACCAAAGGAAGCAAUGGGAAAUAUUUAUCAUACUUGGGGAGAGGGAUCCAUUUUUGCCAUAUGAAAGCAUACAACAAAAGGUUCUGGCAGCUGGAAACUAGGAGAGAGAGCUGGGAUGGGACUUGCUUGCAUCCCACCGAUGAAGAUGAGCACCCAGUCCUCAGGUCCCUGUGUUUCCCAGCCAUCCCCCUCCCUGACAGAUGUCUGUCCUAGGAUGCUGGCUCCCACUCCUAUAUUUGAGAGGUGACAGAUGACUUGCUUCUCCUCCUUUUGCAAGCCUGGGCUGGGCUGAUCUGAUUGCCCUUUUCAGCUGUAGAAAGAUCCAUGUGGACAGGAAGACAUCAGAGAUAUCUAAGACUUCAAGGGCAUGAGAUAAAUGCAAAUGCAUCACUAAUGACUGCUUUAAAAGAAGGUAAAGUAGACCCUAUUGAUUAACGUUAGGCAGUUGCACUGCUGAAUUCUCCUGCUUCCUUCUGAAGCAUUCUGACUUUCUCAGCUAUGCUGUCUGUAAUCCCUUGCUCUGGGAGGGAGCGUGGUGCCCUGACCACACACACACACACUUUGGGCAGCCCCCCCGUUGAGCUGCCGGCACUGCUGAGCCCACUGAGCACUCUGAGCACCUGGGGUCAGUGACACCCAGCUGUCCAAACAGACCCCACAUGCGAGGGCGUGCGUUGGGACCGGCGGGGGAAACCCCACCAGAACCAGACAGCUCUUUGUCUUCAGAGGCAGUGUGGUGGCUCUGGGGCUGCCCUUCUCCUUUGAUCUGAGCCCUGCCUUCCUCUCCUACUUCACGUCACCCCUGCUUGUUUUCUUCUUUUUGUUUUUCCCUGAUCCUAGGUGGUUCUGAUCUCUGUUCAAGAGUUGAUCUCCACCUUAGCAAUGCUACCUUGGGCUUUGAAAGGAAUCUGACAACAUGUCCUCCCUCUGUAAGUAACUUAGCUUCCAUCAAAGUGGUGCCCUGUUCCCCAUCCAAACACUUCACCUCUGUGCUGGGUGACUUCAGCCCAUCCCAGAAGACCUAGCUGGGAGGCAGCAGGAAAACACCACUUCUCUUGCAUUUUGCACAUUUUCAUCAAUAUCGUCUCACAUUUUACUUUGCCCUAUGGAAACAUCACAAAAGUCACUUCUUACUCUGAAUAUCCCUUUACUUCAGUUGGUACUUCAAUGGGUACUUCACUUUCCCAUCUCUAAGGUAGCUCCCUCAAAAAAUAAAAUGGGAUCCAGCCAUUCUUUCUUGCAUUAGUCAGACGUUCUGGAACAGGAAAAACACACACAUUUAUUCAUCCCCUCUAAAUACAUUUGUUUUUAGUUUAGAUCUAUUCAAAACGAGACCCAGUGUGGACAUCUGUCUUAUUAUCCAACAGUAGGUUAAAAAAAAUAAACUCUGCUGGCUCCGUGGGAGGAAUGCAGAUAAAUGACAGAUGGAGGCAAGCAGUGGACUUCCAGAAGCUUUCAUCCAUGAACCAGCUAAUGGGGCUCAGUGCACAGAACAUCCACCCCAUGCUUUUGCAUCUUCCGGAGCAAUGAAGGAGUUGGACAGCACUCUAUCUGCAGUGUAGCCGUCACUGAGGUUUGCACUGCAGACAUGCUCAGGCACACUAUGUGAGAGACAGAGGUCAACUAAUAUACCAAGGAAAGAGCGUUGCCCAUAACCCAGGAGGAUUGGACUUGACGGAUGUUUCUGUGUCAGAUUCUGGAUGGUACCAAUGGGCCUUAAUUCCCCCAAGUAGCCACAUCUGGAAUCCCCAACUCAUAAACCCUCUUCCCUUGGGCUCAGGGUCUCCAUUUUACCUCACAACAGAGCUACAUGCUCUUGUCUUUGCCUCCUGGGUGGACCUCAGGCUUAUUUACAGACUUACCUGCAGCCCUGUCCUUCAUCAUCUCCUGUUGUCAGCCCCUUGUCUGUGUCGUGACCCUAGGCCUUCCCAUACCUUGCAAUCAGUGUGAAACUGAUAUAAAACCUGAAAUCUCCCUUCUUUGGAUAUGACAGAAUGGCCAUGUUUGUCCGGGAGGCUGUGUCGUGACCCUAGGCCUUCCCAUACCUUGCAAUCAGUGUGAAACUGAUAUAAAACCUGAAAUCUCCCUUCUUUGGAUAUGACAGAAUGGCCAUGUUUGUCUGGGAGGCUGGCAACAUUCCUUGCGAUGGCCAAAAUUGUUGACUUCUGCAAAGCAUCUCUAGGUGCUUGCUGAAAUGUAGUGAAUGGUCAAGGCCAUUCUUGUUCAUUUCCUUAGUGGAAUGCAUGAUCACAACUUGCUAACACAAGUCCUACAGAUCUUGGUACAGAUUUCUCUGAGCUCUGUGUUCAUGUAGUGCCACAAACAAGGCUGCGGGAACAGUGAGGCUCUGUGCAUGGGAUGGAUUUGGAGAGUGGAGAAUACAGCUUUAGGUAUGGCUGGUAGCUGGGUGUGGAUGUGUCGGUGCAGCUGAGUGCUUUCUUAUCCUCCUCGACUUUUCUAUAUUUCCCUCUUCUUUCAUCUGGCAUUUAUGUCUGCUACAUAUGUUCCCCUUUAUACCACGCCAGAGCUAUGACACAAGAAAAGGGCAGGGAAGGGGUGGGGGAGGGAAAAAUCUCAAAAUGGGAUUUUAUCAAAAUAUUAUCGGAGCACCAGCUGGUGUAGAUUAGCAUAGCACUCUGAGUGAGAGAGCUAUUUUACCUUGUGCUAUUUUUCUCUGGGCUGCACAUGGCCUUUUCUCAAAGUGUGAAGGUUGUGGCCAGCAGGAUUAAUCUGCUCUUCCCAUCCCCGUUUCUGAAGCCCUGCAGUAUCUCAGCCCAUUCAAAAAUUUGACUGAUCCGGGCUGAGAUGGAAACCAGGUAUCAGUAAGUCACCCAUCCACAGAGGCUGGUUGAAUCUUGCUGGAAAAUGAGAGACGAAGGGUCACAAGAAUGAAAAAUGUGUUGUGCAGACGCUCAUUAGUUAGACAGCUUUGCUGGUGUGCCUGUGCCCCAAGGGUCGGCUUGCAAAGGCAGCAGUGCUGGGCUGGGUCUGACACUCAAAGCACUCGAGGGGUCUGGACACAACUGCUCUGCCCCUUUGCAGGAGAUGGCUCUGUGUCCUGGCUUCCAGCCCAGUGCCAGGCCCUCACGGAGUGGGGAAAGUAUUGCUCAUCCAUCACUGUGUAUUUUUAGGGAUUUUAUUCCUGACUGUAAAGUGGAACCAGCUUUUAGAAGCGGAGGAUAAAGAUUUGGCUGGGAACAUCUGAGCUGGAGGACCAAUAACUUGGGAGCUGCUCGGAAGUGUUUGAUCUGUCUCAGGCCCGCAAGUGCUGAGCAAACGCCUGCCUUGAAGUGGAAGUUAUUUUAUGCAUCCACUGGAGUCCUCUAAAGCCAUUUCCUCUGGGACCUCUGGGGACACUCUGGGCAUCUAUUUUCUCAGCAAUACCAAUGUGACAUGAGGGAGACCGUCUCACAGCCGCUAGGACAGAAGGUGGAAGAAUGCAAACGCUGAAACAUUUUUCAGUUUGUCCUGAUUAUCUUUCCUCCUCCAGCAGUUUUAUUAGGGUUCAUAAAUUCUUCUUUAAAGCACUCAUUCCCCCAUGCAUUUUAACCCUCGGCAGCCUUGGAGGUCACUGUAACCCUGUGGGGUUGGUGGCUGUCCAGGAGAAGCCACCCUGCCCCAUCACAGCUGGCUCUGACCGAAGAGAAUGGAAAUCACUGCACAAAAAGGGCUCUGAGGCACAUGGAGCCCUUCCACUGGCUCAAGUGUAAUAUAAAUAACAACCUUAAUCAUGCAGUGAAAUUGGUGGGUGAAGAUAUGACUGAGGAAUCUGAUAUUGCUUUCAGAAGAUUUUCAGUGCAUCAGUGCUGCUCUCCCCAGCGUGGCAGGAAAGCAUGGAAAAUUCCUCCAUCACCACUGCUUGGUGCCCUCCUAUAAUGAGUAGUCGUUGAGGUAAUAGUAACCCUUUUGGCAAAAGCACUUGCUCCAUGGAAAGCCAGGAUAUAUCCAGUAAUGCAGGGGAGUGCCAUAAAGCACAGCUCAGUAGGAACCUGUUAAAGCGAUAACCUCUGCUGGCCCGGCACGCUGCUUCACCAACAGUCCCCAGCUCAUGAAGGCAGUGAUGCUAAGUGAAAUAUUCAGGGGAGGUUAAGGUCGGAUAUUAGGAACAGUUUCUUCUCAGAAAGAGCACUGAGGCACUGGAAUGGGCUGCCCAGGGAGGUGGUGGGAUCGCCAUCCCUAGAGGUGUUCCAGAACCAUGGAGAUGUGGCACUGAGGGACGUGGGCAGUGGGCAUGGUGGGGUGGGCUGGGGUUGGACUUGGGGAUCUGAGUGGUCUUUUCUAACCUGAAUGAUCGUAUGAUUAGGUAGCUGCUGUUUGUUAGGCAGUCUUAUUCUUGUGGCAGUCUUAUUCUUGUGUCCCCUUGGGAGAACAGCCCUGAAGGCUGGUGGCCUUGAACUGGCAGCUUCUGCUGUGGACAUCAUCCCCUCCUUCCCAGUUUGACCUUCUACCAAGCCCUGAAGCAGGCUGAUUUGAGAUCAAUUCUUGCAACUAUAGCUUAGCAAUCCAUUUGGCUGCGUGGUUUUAUAGCCAGUACAAUAGGAUACAAUUAGUUUGUCAUGCACUUGGUGCAUUAUUCGCUUGCUGUUUGCUGCAAAGGAGGAGAAAGCCGAAAAAGUACAGUGGUGAGCUAUGUUGCUUUGGAACAAAAUAUUUACAUUUUCCACAUUUCCCAUAAGGCAUUAGCACUCUUCCAAAUGUGACACAGGAGAAGCAAAUGCUUAGUGGUCUGCGGAUCUAACAUUUGCUUAAGUACCAUGACAUAUGUGCGUAUGUGUGUACACACACGAGAUAUUUUAGUUCUACUAUUUAAAUUAAGGGUGGGAUACCCUUCAGCACUGCAUUUCUCAGCAUAUGUGUUCUUAUGUUCACUUAUUCUUUGUUUCUGCCAAUGCCUAAAUAAGGAAUACUAAACAGCCACAAAUAUGCAGCCAGUGGAGACGCAGGAAUUCACUGGGAGGGAGCGAAUGCUGAUCUUGAGCUGAUAGGUUUGCAAGGGAAAGAGUCACUGCAGCUGCAGGAGAGAUUUCUGUGGUGGUAUCUGUCUGUAAUGCACAUCACAGCCCCGCUUUGCCUUCAGGGCAAAGCUGAAGCUUUUAGAUGGAGAGCAAGUCGUUUCAAUGCCACAUCAGGGAUAUAUGUAUAUAUAUAUCCACAUAUAUAUACACACACAUAUAAGAAGCACCUGUUUGCACAAUGUUGAUGGUAUUCUCUGCAGCUCUGAGCUGGAACACUGGGCUUGCAAGGAUGCCCAGAUGGGCUGCGUGUGCAGGCAUAGGGGACCACACAUACAUGCCUACAUUUAUUCCCAUUAUUCCCUUGACUUAGAGCUUUAAAGUCACCUCCUCAGUCUCAUGCCAGCUACACAAUGUAAGGAUGACACAGUCAGGCCUUAAAUUUCCUACCUUUAGGAAAAUGCACAUGAAUUUGACCUCACAUUUGUUUUUCUGGUCAAAAAAUGAAAAGUCUAUGGGAAAGCAGCUUGUCCUGGAGCUCACUGCACUGGAGUAUUUCCUGUUAAAGUACAAUGAUCAGCUUGGAAAUUAAAGGGCAGAGAUGUCCCAGUUUGCUUUUCUAUGAUAUCUCUACACUCAUAGUGAUUGAAAUUGCUUUUGUGAUUCUUAUUUUAAAGCUGGAGCAAUUUAAGCACCAAGUAUCUGCUGUAGUGGAAAUGCUGAGUCACAGCCUGAAGCAGUGAUGGAGCACCUGGUGGAAAGGCAGGGCCAACCCAGGGGAGCUCAGGUGCAUGCAGUGCACCUGAGUGAUUGGAAGGGAUGGAGCCACCCCUUCCCAGACCUCAUUUAAGGGUUGGCAGUGGAGGUGAGGGCAUCUCUUGUCUGCCUACCUGAGGCCUUCUAAAGGCAAAUAGCUCUUUUCUUUCAUUUUUGCAUCUGUGGCUGCUGCACUUGGGCUCACUCUCAUUUGCUGCAGCCAAAGACUUUGCCACCCUACUAUUACCAGCCCAUUAUAGCAUUAUGCCUGCUUGCCAGUUUUUUGCCUGUUCCUCGGGUUCUCUGAGAGUACAAGGAACAACACCUUUUCAGAGUGGGUUCUGCUUUCUGUCUUUUCCCACCUUUGUCCACGCAGCAUACCUAAAUGUUUCCUCACCUCAGUCCUUACAGGGACGUUGUUGGCCAGGAGAGAUCUGUAAUGCAGAGGUUGGGCAAAUCAUACAAUCACUAUGAUUGGAAAAGGCCACUAAGAUCAUCAAGCCCAACUGUCAGCCCAUGCAUGCCCGCUGACCACGUCCCUCAGUGCCACAUCCCCACGGUUCUGGAACACCUCCAGAGACAGUGUGAUAUCACCAGUUGGACUGGAUGAUCUUAGUGGUCUUUCCCAGCCUUAAUGAUUCCAUGAUAAUAUGUUAUGUAACAAUUAUAGUAUAAUAUAAAUUGUAUUUAAUGGAGAUGCUGCUCUGGGUGUGAUUCAGCUGCAAGGGAAUCCAUCCCAUCUCUUGCAGGGUUUGUGGGGUUGGUAUGUGAUUUCCAUGCCACUGUGCGUGCACCACUAUACACAGCACAUUGCCCCAUCUUUGUUGCUGCGCUGCCCAACUCUCAGCUCAGGGAAAGGAAAGUCUGAGCUGAUAAGAAAGAUAACUGUUCUGAAGAAGGGAGGCAGAGGUUAAGGAGUGCCAUCUUUUGCGAUCCAUGAUUUGAGGUGGGAGCUUGCAGCCAGGUCCCCUCCGUGCCCAUUCUUCUGCCCUCUUCGCAUCCUCUCCUCCCAUUUUCCACCCCACCCUUGGAGAGGGGUAUGUCUGCUUACCUCCCUUUGCAGCAAGGGCAGAGGAAGAUGAGGAGCUUGGCUGGGGCAUGGAUGGAGCAGCCCAGGGUGCAGCAUCAACAGCCCCAGCCCCUACUCCCCCCCAGGCAGCAUUUGCAAAAGAUCAAAGCGUGCAGCAAAAAUAGCAAAAGGGAAGAGCUUGUGGGUUGGACAUCUGGAGGCCAGAAGCAGCUCCUGCUUUUGAGUAGGCAAGAGGUGAAGGAGGAAGGGUAAAAAUGGGUUUACGGUCUCGCUUCUUUUACUGGGAUUAAAAACUUCUUAUAAAGUUAUAUGGUUUGCUGUUAUUUGAGAAAGCAGUGUCCUAUGUCUCUGUAAGGUCCUAAUUUCAGAAGCAGGGAUGCUAAUGACACCUAUAAAAAUAGAGAGGUGGGUAUUUUCUGGCAGUCACAAUGCUGAUUUAUCUGUGGUGCAUCAUCUGACAACCUUAUUUUUAUUCCAAGGGGCACAAGGAGGCUCCUGGGAAAUGUCUGUGCUGCUAAGCUGAAUAAAGCAGGUGCUAUUUCCUUUUGCAGCUGGAUGUUUUCAACUAUAAGAACUCAGAAACAAGCCCAAACCUAAGGGGAUGGCUGGGUCACAGCCCAGUUUUUCAAAGCCUUUGCAAAGAAACUGGAGACAGACAGACUAGAAGUCAAAGUCCAACCUCUGGACAGUGCUGCCAAGUGUGCAAUCAAAUAUUGUGCCCAUUUCCACCAAAUAAGUGUGCCAGUGUCAUUGCAAUGCAUUAACGUACAAACAGUACAUUGCAACGUUGGGUUCACUCUGCAAAUGGAGCUGAGUGAGCAAAGUGUUUCACGCCAUUAUGUGUGUCCAAAUGGGAUGAAAACCUCUGGAGGCAGCAUAGCGGGACAUUCUCUGGUGAAAACAUUUACCAUGGAAAAAUGCAAUUUGCAGGGGAUGAUUUGCAUCCAGCACGAUGAACAAUUUUGGCCACAGGAAAAAUAAGCUGAAGUGGAGGGAAGGAGGUUGGAAUGGAAACAGACAGAUUUGAUUGGUUUUCUUUUAACAAAAGAAGCCGUAAGUUAAACACUCUGUUUGUGACAAGAUGUACCAUCUUAUCCCAGGCAGGUUGGAAUUCUUUUUCUUUCCAUCUUUUUCCUUUUUGAUUUUUCCCUUCUCUGUUCAUUCUGUUGGGAAAUGUUUUGUGGAUCAUGGCAUGGGGAGGUUUGGGACUCUCUGUGUUCCUUUCUGAGCUUCAUCAUCGUUAUCACUUUGCCAUUGUUUGUCUUGAUGUAGGAUCAACAACUGUCUCUCUCCUUGGUCAAAUGGUGGAACUGCUUCUUUCCUCUUCCAGUUUUGCCUCCUGGUCAUUAAAGUGGGAAAUAUCUCUCAUUCAUUUGCAUUGGUUUGACCUGUGCUCCUGGUUUGCUUUCCCAGCUAGGGACAUGGUUGUUGCUCCCAGCCAAGUGCCAGGUGUAUGGCAUGUGAUGACACCAAGCCCUGCCAGGUUGCAUGUUUCAAUGCUUGUGUUGUGCCACUUUCAUUAGCGCACUGAUUAACCAUUUCCCCGUGGUCUAAUGAAUUCCACUUGCCCAUCGCUCACUGAGCAUACCCAGAAAUCACAGCAUUGGGCAAUGCUCACUGGGAUACUUAAGGAAGAGGAGGGGAAAAAAAAAUGAAUGUGCGAGUGCUGGAUUGGGCAGGAAUGGGGGGAUGAAGAAAUUCAAACAUUUUUUUUUCUUCUUUCAGUGGUGAGGGCAGACAAGGCUGAUAGCUGCCUCCGUGUGAAACUGGAGCUAUAUCCAGGAAUGGUAUUUAUAUGCACGGAUGUAGCUUUCAAUCAGGAUGAUGUAAACACUGCUGCAGAAUUUUUUGACCAGGCUGUUUGGGAAACGUGAUGGAUUAAAUAUGACAAACAAGAUUCCUGGACGUUUAUUUAUCCGCCUUUUCAUUUGUGCCAGUUUCAUGUUAGGCAAGGCUCUGGCUACCAGACCGAUGCUAAGCCCUGAGGGCAGGCAAGGCUGGGGGGAGGGAGCCACAAAGAGAGUGUUUUCCAAGCCUCAUCUAAUUUAAAGCAUCUUUUGCUAAGUGGUGCAGCGAAGAGGAUGUGGCUAACACAAAUAAAAAAAUCAUAAAGGGAUCAAAGUGUGUGUGCAAAUUCAUUCCUUGUGGCAGGAGUUCUGCCAGUUUGCUUGCUCGCUUGCUUUCCUAAAAAAAAAAUUCUCUCCCCGCCCCCAGGAUGGAGCGAGCAAUCGCAUGUCAGAAUCUCUUCUGGAUUUCAUAAGGGUUUCAGCACUGAUGGAUGGGCGGGAUGACACCAGAGCCUGUACAUUGUGCCUGAGAUCUGAGCCACUUCCCCUUGGUCCCAUGGUUACACAUGGAACAGUUGCAUGGGCACGAUCUAUUUAUAAGUGGUUCAAAGGCACCACAAAAGCAGGGGGAUGCUGGUGUGAAGCACUGGGCCACCAGGAAGCUCUCUAGCACUUGCAGGAACCUGACGUUACCCCAGAGCCUGAGCAGUUCCUGGCAGGGUGUAAGAUGAGGAAAGUCCUAAAAAGGAAAACAAAAGAAAAGAGAUAAAAAAGUAAAAUCUAAAA